rnacentral:rRNA from 1 species
UACGUAGGUGGCAAGCGUUAUCCGGAAUUAUUGGGCGUAAAGCGCGCGCAGGCGGUUAUGUAAGUCUGAAGUUAAAACCCGGGGCUCAACCUCGGUUCGCAUUGGAAACUGUGUAACUUGAGUGCAGAAGAGGAAAGUGGUAUUCCACGUGUAGCGGUGAAAUGCGUAGAUAUGUGGAGGAACACCAGUGGCGAAGGCGACUUUCUGGUCUGUAACUGAGGCUGAGGCGCGAAAGCGUGGGGAGCAAACAGG